AAUCAACGCUGGCGGCGUGCCUAACACAUGCAAGUCGAACGAGAAAGUGGGAGCAAUCCCAUGAGUACAGUGGCGAACGGGUGAGUAACACGUGACUAACCUACCUUCCAGUGGGGGAUAACCUCGGGAAACCGGGGCUAAGACCGCAUAACCUCGUGAGGUGAGAAUCCUUGCGAGCAAAGGGGUAAGACGCUGGAUGAGGGGGUCGCGGCCGAUUAGCUAGUUGGCGGGGUAACGGCCCACCAAGGCGAUGAUCGGUAGCCGGCCUGAGAGGGCGCACGGCCACACUGGAUCUGAAACACGGUCCAGACUCCUACGGGAGGCAGCAGUGGGGAAUUUUGCACAAUGGGGGAAACCCUGAUGCAGCAACGCCGCGUGGAGGAUGAAGUCCCUUGGGACGUAAACUCCUUUCGACCGGGACGAUAAUGACGGUACCGGUGGAAGAAGCCCCGGCUAACUCCGUGCCAGCCGCCGCAGUAAUAC
rnacentral:rRNA from 1 species